UUUUACCAUUUAUGGGCUAUAAUUACAUAGCUAACAUAAUAAAAGUAUUGGUGCGUGACAAUCCGUUGGGACUUAUGCAAUGGAAACCUAUGAACCUCGUCAGGUCCGAAAGGAAGCAGCGAUAAGUAGUCAUUUUCAUGUGCCAUGAGGCAACCUGACGGGUUGUCAUACACGAGUACUUUUCAGUUGGUAAAA
rnacentral:SRP_RNA from 1 species